GUCUUCAUUUCGAGGCAAAACGUUCUCUUUCGUUUCUUACAGAUUAACAGACAGAGCGUUGUCUCUUAACAAUGCAACACACCAAACACACAAAGGCAAGAUAUCAUCAGCUCCAUUCCGACUGUCAUCACAGAUAAGAAUCUUGCCUUACUAGAAGCUGUGAAACUAUUGGGAUAAUCCAGCUGCCAGGCAUAAAAGAAAGCUGCUGAUGGAGGAACCAUACAGUCGGUAUGCAAUUGUCUUUGAACUGAGCUCACCCAGAAUGAUAGGCAAAGAGAAAUAAACGU